GAUGAACGCUGGCGGCGUGCCUAAUACAUGCAAGUCGAGCGAACAGACGAGGAGCUUGCUCCUCUGACGUUAGCGGCGGACGGGUGAGUAACACGUGGAUAACCUCCCUAUAAGACUGGGAUAACUUCGGGAAACCGGAGCUAAUACCGGAUAAUAUAUUGAACCGCAUGGUUCAAUAGUAAAAGACGGUUUUGCUGUCACUUAUAGAUGGAUCCGCGCCGCAUUAGCUAGUUGGUAAGGUAACGGCUUACCAAGGCAACGAUGCGUAGCCGACCUGAGAGGGUGAUCGGCCACACGGGAACUGAGACACGGUCCAGACUCCUAAGGGAGGCAGCAGUAGGGAAUCUGCCGCAAAGGGCGAAAGCCUGACGGAGCAACGCGGAGUGAGAGAUGAAGGUCUUCGGAUCGUAAAACUCUGUUAUGAGGGAAGAACAAAUGUGUAAGUAACUAUGCACGGCUUGACGGUACCUAAUCAGAAAGCCACGGCUAACUACGUG
rnacentral:rRNA from 1 species